UAAGAAUAAGUUUUAAUUUCAAAUCGUUUUAACAUCAUUAUAUAAACGUGUACUAACUGAUAAUGGAGACACACAAAAUAUUUUAUAUCUUAAAUGCUAUAUGCUAUUUAUUAUGUCUUUAGAUAUUGUACGAUUUUAUAGACCAACAUUUACUCACAAAGAAAUUUAUGAUCAAAUUGGUAGAUAGUUGGUUCAAGCUCAUUUGAGAAAAACCCAACAAGAAAAAAGGUAAGUUUAUUUUCUAUUAAAAAUAAACUGUCAUAUGUUGACCUAAUCAUUUAUGAAUUUUUGAAUCAUUUUCACUUUUCAGGCAAAUUGAUCUUAUCAAUCCACUUUGCCAGUUUACAUAUAUUCUAAAUACAUAUUAUAAUGACAGUACAAAGCUGCAAAAUAAUAGAUAUAUUUUAAUUUUUUUUUAUCUUUUAGAUAUAUUUAAAAUGACAUAUCAUGAUUGACUUACUGACCGAUUCAUUAUCACCUAGCCCAAAUUACUGGAUAGAACGGGCUGAAAUUUGGCAUACAGAUAGCUAUUAUAAUGUAAGCAUCCAAUAAGAAAAUAUUUUUGUAAAUUCAACGUCUUAGGUGGUAAAUUAUGGGACGAAUAUUUAAUUGUUUUUUUUGUUUAUUCUUGGGUUACCUGGGUGAUAUUGAUGACAAUUGUUGUUACGGACAAGAAAACUUAUUAUUAUUAUUAUUAUUUACACUAUUAUCUAGUAAUAGCAAAAGAUUGCCAGAUCGAGACUGAUAAUAUUACUCGGAAACUAAGCGUUGAAGAGUAAAAUGUUUUAUAACCCUGGCUUCUAUGACUUCUACCAUGCACAUCUAUUCUUGUAGAAUCUUUAUAAACUUCGUCUUUUUGAUUCAACAAUAUUUUUUACAUUUGGAAAUUUUGUAAUAAAUCCAAAAGAAGCAAAACUUGUUGCCACUUAAAAGCGCGUCUGCAGUUUUUCAAUUUAAAUUUAUUGGCAUAAACCAUGAAAUAUUGCAUCUCUCUGAAACUGAAAGAAAAUGGAAACAAAUUUUCUAAAACCUCCAAAACUUGUCAAGUCCUUUUUUUGGAUUUAUUACAAAAUCGCUAAAUUUAAAAAACAUGUUUUACAAAAAUAUUGGUGAAAUCAAAUAUGUACAGAUCUGAUCAGACAAAAUAUUUUCUCGCUGUCCAUAUAAAUAGAAUGGAACUGUUAAAAUGUGAAUUAACUAUAUUUAAACAAAUAUUAGAAUAUUUUGGAGACUGGUAUGGUAUAGUGUCUGUUCGUAAGUGGCUGAUAAGUGUGAAUCGGGCUUAAAUAUGAACUAUUAUUUUUGUCGGGAUGCUAUUUCACCAUAAAUAUAUUAUAAUUUUUUUUUCAGUUAGAACCCAUGCAGUUUAUUAAUAUUUGAAGAUUGGAUUUUGAAUUAUGAUUUAUGAACACGAAUAUUACAGAACAAUGUUAUCAAUAUUAUACGCAGUCUGAAAAAUGUAAUAUUAAUAAUUUUUUUUCUAAUUUAUAACAUUUGAUGAUAAUAAUUUGUUUUUCAGUGAAUUUCAUUUCACAGUGCCCGAAAUUUAUGUUGAGUCCUGUUAUGGUUCGUUCGGAUCAGGUCAUUCAAGAAUAGAUCAUUGAAUGAUUCGUUCAUAUUGUCCAUUUUGUUCACACAAAACGAUUAAUGUAUUAAACCGAAUAACUAUAUACCUCAAAAGAUCUUAAAAGUUAUCAUAUUAUAAAGUUUACAAUUACUUGUAUUGAUAAUUUUUCAGUAUAAAAUGUAUUUUAUGAUUAAGUUAUAAAGUAUGUCUUACAAUUGCCCAGUUAUUUAUUAUGAUAAUAAAGUAAACACUAAAGUACCUA